AACCCCCCCCCGGGGGGUUUUUUACGCUUUUUUUUUUUGCCCCAAAAAGUUUCAAAAAAAAAGCUAAAAAACCCCCCCAGGUUUCUUUUUUUUGGCGGCUGGGCGUUUUUUAAGGGCCAUUUUCAGGCAUUUCCCCACUUUGGGGCUUUAAGCGGGGUUUUUCCCCCAAAAAAAAAAUUUGGGGUUGGAAAAGGGCCGAACCCGGGGCUUGCCGGGCCAAUCGUUUGAAAGGAAAAAAGGGGGGGUUGUUUACCUAAAAAUACAACCGGCCCCCGCAAAAAAAAAGCCCCCAGGAAGGGGGGGCAAAACCCGGUUUUUUUUGGGCACCUUUGGCCCCCCCAAAUUAAAACCUAAAUGGGGAAAAAAAAAAACUUUUUUUUGUGCACAACCCCGGCCAUUUUAAAUUUUGCCCACGGGGCCCAUUUUUCCCCAACCCCCCUUCCUUUGGGGGGGCUAAGAAAAAAAAUAGUUUUUGGGCAAGGCUAUAGGGGGGCCAAAAAAGUGUAGCCAUUUAAGACCAGAUAAAAAAAAAAAAAUUAAAUUUUUUUUUUUUUUUUUUUACCUUUUGGGACAAACUUUUUUGGUUGAAAAAAAAAAAAAAGCCAAAAAAGCGGGGUCCCAAAGGUUAUUUUUUUUUUUUUUGCCGGGGGGCAAAAAAAAAAAAAAAAAAAACCUUUUUGGCCCCCCCCCCACGUGGGGGGGAAAAAAUUUUUUUUUAAAAAAACCAACCGGCAAACGGGGGGAACAAAAAGCUAAAU
rnacentral:rRNA from 1 species